rnacentral:lncRNA from 1 species
GAUACUGAGGAUGAGGGUGAGGGCGGCUGGGGCUCGUCCCAGAGCAGCCCCGAGAAGCAGGGGGUGGCUGCCUGCUCCCUCCCGCCUCGGCUGCCCUUCUGGCCCGCACCCCCACCUCAGGCUGGGGGUCCACGCGAGCUUUGCUUCUAGGGCCUGUAACCUGGUUUCAUCCUGGUUCCACCCUGCUGACUGGCGUGGGGAAAGGCGUGGCCGGCAGAGGGAGCGAGGCAGAAAGGAACCACGCUAGUCCAGCCAGUCGUGUCCAACUCUUCGAGACCCCUCGGACGGCAGCACGCCAGGCCUCCCUGUCCAUCACCAGCUCCUGGAGCUCACCCAGACGUGUGUCCAUCGCGUCGGUGAUGCCAUCCAGCCAUCUCAUCCUCUGUCGCCCCGUCUCCUCCUGCCCCCAGUCCUGCCCGGUGUCAGGGUCUUUGCUGAUGAGCCGGCCCUUCCCAUCAGGGGCCAGAGUGUCGCAGCCUCUGAGGCCUCUCUGGCCCCUGCAGCUGCGUUCCCGCCGGCACUGCCGCUGCUUUCGGGGCCUGUGGUGGUGGGGGU